rnacentral:rRNA from 1 species
AUUGAACGCUAGCGGGAUGCUUUACACAUGCAAGUCGAACGGCAGCGCGGACUUCGGUCUGGCGGCGAGUGGCGAACGGGUGAGUAAUGUAUCGGAACGUGCCCAGUAGCGGGGGAUAACUACGCGAAAGCGUAGCUAAUACCGCAUACGCCCUACGGGGGAAAGCAGGGGAUCGUAAGACCUUGCACUAUUGGAGCGGCCGAUCUCGGAUUAGCUAGUUGGUGAGGUAACGGCUCACCAAGGCGACGAUCCGUAGCUGGUUUGAGAGGACGACCAGCCACACUGGGACUGAGACACGGCCCAGACUCCUACGGGAGGCAGCAGUGGGGAAUUUUGGACAAUGGGGGCAACCCUGAUCCAGCCAUCCCGCGUGUGCGAUGAAGGCCUUCGGGUUGUAAAGCACUUUUGGCAGGAAAGAAACGUCGCGGGCUAAUACCCCGUGGAACUGACGGUACCUGCAGAAUAAGCACCGGCUAACUACGUG